rnacentral:rRNA from 1 species
CAUGGAGUCAGUUCGGCUGGACAGGUGACAGGUGCUGCAUGGCUGUCGUCAGCUCGUGUCGUGAGAUGUGGUUAAGUCCCGCAACGAGCGCAACCCUUGUCCUUAGUUGCCACCAUUCAGUUGGGCACUCUAAGGAGACUGCCGGUGUUUAAACCGGAGGAAGGUGGGGAUGACGUCAAGUCCUCAUGGCCCUUAUAUCCAGGGCUACACACACGCUACAAUGGUCGGCACAAUAGGUUGCCAAGUCGUGAGACGGAGCCAAUCCUCCAAAGCCGGCCUCAGUUCAGAUUGCAGGCUGCAACUCGCCUGCAUGAAGUUGGAGUUGCUAGUAAACGCAGGUCAGCUAUACUGCGUUGAAUACGUUCCCGGGGAUU